rnacentral:tRNA from 1 species
GUCGGGAUAGCUCAGCUGGUAGAGCAAAGGACUGAAAAUC